AUGUCCGGUGUCCGCAGCCCGAGCCGCGCGGGGCCGCCGCAGAGCUCGGCCCUACUCACCGCCCGCCGCCGCCACCCCCCGCGGCGUCGCCCAGCAACAAGCGCGCGACCCGCGCCGGAAGGACAAGGGCCCGAUGGGAAAUGCAGGCCUCCCCGCGCCCGCGCCCAUUGGCGCCACUGGCGCAUGCACGCUGCCGCCCGGCGGCGGGAGGGCGCCGCGGCGCCGGGGUCGCGGGUUCGCGGCUGCCGUCGGCCAGGCCUCGGGGAUGGGGCGGCACGGCCGUGCYCGCCCGGAGCCCUCCCGUCCCUUCCACGCUGGAAACGGCCCCCCAGCCCCCAAACCGCACGGGGGUGGCACCAACGGCGGCCCCCUCCGGCCAGCACAGCCCUCCAAGAACCAGCCAGGACGACAGGAGGUGUCCACACCUGGGUCGAGUUUAUUGCGUUCGCACCUCGCAGUGACAAACACGGACGGCUGAGGGAAACAGCAGCUCCUCGAAAYGCCGCAACAGUCCAGAGAGAGAUUUCCCAAGUCUUACAUCUUAUUGUGUUUCCAAAAAAAAGAAAGAAAGAAAGAGAGAAAAAUCCCCUAGGCCUCCCCUCRCGGAAACACUGCAACCUGCGCCUCGACGGCUGGGGCGCGCGGUGGGGAGGGAGCAGAGCACGCAGGGGCAAAGCCUUCGAGCUUCGAACACCCGGUUCUGGUGUUUCAGAGGGCAGCAGAAAACCUGCUGCUAGGAGGAAAAAAAAAAAAAAAAAAAGGGAAAAAAAGAAAAGGGGAGGAGAGAAGGGACGAGGGUUGGGAGAGGACAAGAGCAGAGGGCCAGGCUCAGAGGAGCGCCCGGGCCUCGCGCUGCGCGUAACCGAUCCAUGCAGGGGGUCAGAGCGGGCCCAGCCGCUGGAUGGCAGGAGGCGACGAAGCCGCCACGGGAAAGGCCGGCGCUGCCCGCGCCUUGGGAGUGGAGGGGCUUCGCUCACACCAGGGCAYGCGCAAACAGGGGCCCCGGGCGCAGUAAAGCUUCAGGCGCGCUGCAGCCCAGAGCUGCCUGCCGCUCUCGCCGACGUGGACCCCAGCGACGCGGCAGGGCCCGGCAGCCUCAGCCCGUACGUCACGCGGCCACGGAUUAAGCACAGCCGCUGUGGAUGCGGGGCCGUAUGCCCUGCCCGGCUUCUGCAGCGCUGGAGGGCUGAAGCAAUACAGCGACGCGUUUCACCGCCGAGCAAUCGCACUCGCACGUGCAGGAGACGCACUGGAGAGGGUGGUUAG
ensembl:lncRNA